UUAGGUGUGGCUCAGUUGACAGAGUGUUUGCCUAGUAUGCACAAAGCCCUGGGUUCCAUUCCCAACACUAUAG
rnacentral:tRNA from 1 species